CCUACGGGUGGCAGCAGUGAGGAAUAUUGGUCAAUGGCCGGAAGUCUGAACCAGCCAAGCCGCGUGAAGGACGAAGGUGCCAAGCAUUGUAAACUUCUUUUGUCAAGGGACAAAAUCAGGCUCGCGAGCCUGACCGAGGGUACUUGAAGAAAAAGCAUCGGCUAACUCCGUGCCAGCAGCCGCGGUAAUACGGGGGAUGCGAGCGUUAUGCGGAUUUAUGGGGUUAAAAGGGUGCGUAGGCGGACUGUUAAGUCAGCGGUAAAAGCCCGGGGCUCAACCCGGGCGAGCCGUUGAAACUGGCUGGCUUGAGAUGACGAGAGGUAUGCGGAAUGCGCAGUGUAGCGGUGAAAUGCUUAGAUAUCACACAGAACACCGAUUGCGAAGGCAUCUCACGAAGCCGCGAUUGACGCUGAUGCACGAAAGCGUGGGGAGCAAACAGGAUUAGAUACCCCAGUAGUC
rnacentral:rRNA from 1 species